rnacentral:sRNA from 1 species
UAUAUAUCCAAAAGAACUGAAAAUAGGAUCUUCACAGCCAGUUACAGAUUGAACUCCUUGUUCUACUACUUUCCCCCCUUCUCACUACUGUACUUGACUAGUCUUAA